UGGGGAAUCUUGGACAAUGGGGGCAACCCUGAUCCAGCCAUGCCGCGUGAGUGAUGAAGGCCUUAGGGUCGUAAAGCUCUUUCGCCUGUGAAGAUAAUGACGGUAGCAGGUAAAGAAACCCCGGCUAACUCCGUGCCAGCAGCCGCGGUAAUACGGAGGGGGUUAGCGUUGUUCGGAAUUACUGGGCGUAAAGCGCACGUAGGCGGACCAGAAAGUUGGGGGUGAAAUCCCGGGGGCUCAACCCCGGAACUGCCUCCAAAACUAUUGGUCUAGAGUUCGAGAGAGGUGAGUGGAAUUCCAAGUGUAGAGGUGAAAUUCGUAGAUAUUUGGAGGAACACCAGUGGCGAAGGCGGCUCACUGGCUCGAUACUGACGCUGAGGUGCGAAAAGUGUGGGGAGCAAACAGGAUUAGAUACCCUGGUAGUCCACACCGUAAAACGAUGAAUGCCAGUCGUCGGGGUAGCAUGCUAUUCGGUGACACACCUAACGGAUUAAGCAUUCCGGCCU
rnacentral:rRNA from 1 species